CCACGAUAGAACGGUGCCUGGUGUCUGUCUCCAACAGCAGACCUGUUUAAUCCAGUACCUACAGUACCUGCCGGACAAAAACGCUGGCUCACACUGCAAAGGGGGCUAACUCCAGGACCUGGGCGGCCAGAAACCCACCCAGCAGCCAGCUGAACACCUGGGGAUGCUGAUUUAGCCUUCCCUGUCUCAGUCACUCGUUCAGACUUGCAGGGGUUGCAUGUUUUCAGAGAACUUGAAAGGGGAAGUACUUUCACAUACUGCAGGAAAAUACUCAAGAAUGUGAACUCCAUCUAUUUGUCGAACAAAGAAGCUACCUGUACAGUUCAACUCUUUAAGGUAUCCAUUUGGAAUCACUGUGGACAUGCUUUGAAUGAUUCAUGGAUACCUCAUUAUGAGAUCUCUCUGUCACAAUGAUAUCAGGGCAUCCUCUGAAAGACAGCUCAUUCUAUCUGGCACCCAGAGUAGUCCUCCAAGGCUCACAAGCUAAUACAACAGAAGACGAAGAUGACCCCAGGGAAACUUGAUUUAGAAGUAUAACAACAGUAUUAAAGAACUUAAAGAUACUUAUGCAAAUAUCCAGAGAGAAAAUUAAGUUUUUUCAAAACCUUUUAGAAAAACCUAUCCUGAGAAUAAAAAUUGAAAUCUACAAGGAGUUACCUCAAAUUCUGUCUGAAGUGAAUUUUUAUGCAAUUAAUGAAGGCAGAAAUAUAUAACAUAUUAGCUUGGCUUUUUCCUUUAACAUAAUAAUCAGUUCAAUGGAUUAAUCCCCUCACUUGAGCUCUUUGAUAUUGUCUCUCAGGGUUCACUUCAAAAGAAAUACGUGUUCCCAUAUUAAAGGUGAUUCAGAGGUCUUGAAUUGUUAUUAAUAAAAGGCAACUGGUGUCGUAAUAAGCAGACUACGAUCUGCAGUAUAAGCCAAGUAAGUGCUUGAGACACAGGAAAGUUGGAGAGGGAAACACUGAAGAGAUUAUGCUACUCUGAUAAUCUCUUUCAAUGAGAAAUUCAGGGAAAAAAUGAUUUACUUUCUUUAUCAAU